rnacentral:misc_RNA from 1 species
GAAGGCCCCAUUGACAUGGCUGUACGCGCUGCAACGCACGUCCUUGGUCACAACUGGACGGCUACCGCUGACGUUCCACGCGAAAGCGUACUUGAGACCCGAGGAAACGCGCAACCUGAAUAUCCCCUUCGGGGAAUCCUCGCGCUUUAGCGCGGGGAGGAUGUCAAAACGAUUC